GAUGAACGCUGGCGGCGUGCCUAAUACAUGCAAGUCGAGCGAACAGACGAGGAGCUUGCUCCUCUGACGUUAGCGGCGGACGGGUGAGUAACACGUGGAUAACCUACCUAUAAGACUGGGAUAACUUCGGGAAACCGGAGCUAAUACCGGAUAACAUUUUGAACCGCAUGGUUCAACAGUGAAAGACGGUCUUGCUGUCACUUAUAGAUGGAUCCGCGCCGCAUUAGCUAGUUGGUAAGGUAACGGCUUACCAAGGCAACGAUGCGUAGCCGACCUGAGAGGGUGAUAGGCCACACUGGAACUGAGACACGGUCCAGACUCCUACGGGAGGCAGCAGUAGGGAAUCUUCCGCAAUGGGCGAAAGCCUGACGGCGCAAAGCCGCGUGAGUGAAGAAGGUCUUCGGAUCGUAAAACUCUGUUAUUAGGGAAGAACAAAUGUGUAAGUAACUAUGCACGUCUUGACGGUACCUAAUCAGAAAGCCACGGCUCACUACGUG
rnacentral:rRNA from 1 species